UUUGACCUACGGGGCGCAGCAGUGGGUUAUAUUGGACAAUGGGGGGAACCCUGAUCCAGCGACGCCGCGUGAGUGAAGAAGUAUUUCGGUAUGUAAAGCUCUGUCAGCAGGGAAGAAAGCAAUGACGGUACCUGACCAAGAAGCCCCGGCUAACUACGUGCCAGCAGCCGCGGUAAUACGUAGGGGGCAAGCGUUAUCCGGAAUUACUGGGUGUAAAGGGAGCGUAGACGGCUGUGCAAGUCUGGAGU
rnacentral:rRNA from 1 species